AUGCAGUCGAGGGGCAGCGGGAUUGAAGCUUGCUUCAUUGCCGGCGACCGGCGCACGGGUGAGUAACGCGUAUCCAACCUUCCGCUUACUCGGGGAUAGCCUUUCGAAAGAAAGAUUAAUACCCGAUGGUAUCUUAAGCACGCAUGAGAUUAAGAUUAAAGAUUUAUCGGUAAGCGAUGGGGAUGCGUUCCAUUAGGCAGUUGGCGGGGUAACGGCCCACCAAACCUACGAUGGAUAGGGGUUCUGAGAGGAAGGUCCCCCACAUUGGAACUGAGACACGGUCCAAACUCCUACGGGAGGCAGCAGUGAGGAAUAUUGGUCAAUGGGCGAGAGCCUGAACCAGCCAAGUAGCGUGAAGGAUGACGGCCCUACGGGUUGUAAACUUCUUUUGUGCGGGAAUAAAGGAACCUACGUGUAGGUUUUUGCAUGUACCGUAACGAAUAAGCAUCGGCUAACCCCGUGCCAGCAGCCGCGGUAAUACGGAGGAUGCGAGCGUUAUCCGGAUUUAUUGGGUUUAAAGGGAGCGUAGACGGGUUUUUAAGUCAGCUGUGAAAGUUUGGGGCUCAACCUUAAAAUUGCAGUUGAAACUGGAGACCUUGAGUACGGCUGA
rnacentral:rRNA from 1 species